rnacentral:rRNA from 1 species
AACGAACGCUGGCGGCGCGCCUAACACAUGCAAGUCGCACGAGAAAGUCCGUAGCAAUGCGGGCCGGUAAAGUGGCGCACGGGUGAGUAAUACGUGGGUAACCUACCUCUCGGUGGGGGAUAACCCCGCGAAAGCGGGGCUAAUACCGCAUAAUACCCUGAGGCCAAAGCCGAAGGGUUAAAGGUAGCCUCUGCUUGCAAGCUAUCACCGAUUGAGGGGCCCACGCCCCAUUAGCUAGUUGGAGGGUAACGGCCUACCAAGGCUGUGAUGGGUAGCUGGUCUGAGAGGACGACCAGCCACACUGGCACUGACACACGGGCCAGACUCCUACGGGAGGCAGCAGUGAGGAAUCUUGCGCAAUGGGCGAAAGCCUGACGCAGCGACGCCGC